UACAAAAACAUCUUUUCUUGUUAGUUUUUGAAGUAUGGCCUGCCCACUGACUUGGAGUUGAAGGGCCGCGGUAUUUUGACCGUGCAAAGGUAGCAUAAUCAUUAGUUCUUUAAUUGUGAUCUGGUAUGAAUGGCUUGACGAGACAUAAGCUGUCUUGGGGGUAUUGGUUUAUUGAAUUUGGUUUUUGAGUUAAAAUUCUUAGAUGUUUUUAUGGGACGAGAAGACCCUAUAGAGUUUGACAAUUUUCUUAUUUAUUCAUUGUUUGUUUUAUUUAUAUUGAGUGGGAAUAGAUUGUUUUGUUGGGGUGAUGGGAGGAAUAUUAUUUAACUCCUCUUUGUUUUUAUAUAUUUAUGUAUAUGUUUUUGAUCCAUUUAUUUUGAUUAUAAGAUUAAAUUACCUUAGGGAUAACAGCGUUAUCCUCCUUGAGAGUUCUUAUUGGCGGGGGGGUUUGCGACCUCGAUGUUGGAUUAAGGUGAAUUUUCGGUGCAGGAGCUGAAAGUGAUUGGGUCUGUUCGACCUUUAAAAUCUUACGUGAUCUGAG
rnacentral:rRNA from 1 species